rnacentral:tmRNA from 1 species
GGGGCAGUUUUGGUUUCGACAGCAAUUACUAGCUAAGACGGCAAGUAGUAGGCAUACUUAAAAUGCAAAACUUAAAAUUAAAUGACGAGAAUAACUCUGUCACUUCUUUUGGAGCAUAUGCUCCAGUAGCUGCUUAAUUUAGAGCUAAUAAGAAGGCUUUUAUUCACUUUCUCUUAUAGGGUGUUUAAAGGUUCAUAAAUAUAAGAUAUAUAAAAUCAUUCGUCUUAGAUGAUUUUAUGAACAAAAAUAAGACUCGUAUACUUCUUUGGUGUGUUGGAACCAUAAAGUAUAUUAAAAAAAUUCCAACUAAACUUGUAGAUGUUUUUUCAUAGGGUUGUAUGGACAGGAGUUCAACUCUCCUCUGCUCCACCA